rnacentral:rRNA from 1 species
GACGAACGCUGGCGGCGUGCUUAACACAUGCAAGUCGAACGGAAAGGCCCUGCUUUUGUGGGGUGCUCGAGUGGCGAACGGGUGAGUAACACGUGAGUAACCUGCCCUUGACUUUGGGAUAACUUCAGGAAACCGGGGCUAAUACCGGAUAGGAGCUCCUGCUGCAUGGUGGGGGUUGGAAAGUUUCGGCGGUUGGGGAUGGACUCGCGGCUUAUCAGCUUGUUGGUGGGGUAGUGGCUUACCAAGGCUUUGACGGGUAGCCGGCCUGAGAGGGUGACCGGCCACAUUGGGACUGAGAUACGGCCCAGACUCCUACGGGAGGCAGCAGUGGGGAAUAUUGCACAAUGGGCGGAAGCCUGAUGCAGCAACGCCGCGGGCGGGAUGACGGCCUUCGGGUUGUAAACCGCUUUCGCCUGUGACGAAGCGUGAGUGACGGUAAUGGGUAAAGAAGCACCGGCUAACUACGUGC